GCGCCUGUAGCUCAGCUGGAUAGAGUACUGCCCUCCGAAGGCAGGGGUCGUGAGUUCGAAUCUCGCCAGGCGCGCCA
rnacentral:tRNA from 1 species